UCCACCUGCAGCCCCUGGGGAUCCAUGGGGGAGCAGAGAUCCACCUGCAGCCCCUGGAGGUCCAUGGGAGAGCAGAGAUCCACCGGCAGCCCCUGGAGGUCCAUGGGAGAGCAGAGAUCCACCUGCAGCCCCUGGAGGACCCCACACCGGAGCAGGUGGAUGUCCAAAGGAGGCUGUGACCCUGUGGGAAGCUCACCCUGGCAGGUUCCUGGAAGGACCUGUGGAGAAAUGAGCCCACGCUAGAGGAGGUUUGCUCUCAGGACUUGUGAUCCUAUGGGGGACCCAUGCUGGAACAGUUUGUUCCUGAAGGAUUUCCCCUCUGUUGAAAGAAAGGACCUACGAUGAAGCAGUUAAUGAAGAACUGCAGCCUAUGGGAAGGACUCCUGUCCCUGAGAAAGAAGCAGCAGCAGAAAUUAUGUGAUGAACUGACCAUAACAAUAAUAACCACCUGUCCCUGUGCACCACUGCUGGGGAGGAGGAAGAAGGUGAAGAGGAGAUUGUGUUUCCCCAAAAGAAAAGCCUAGCCUCAUAAUUUUUCCAGAUUGUUGGGAGAUUUUUGUUAAACAGCAAAGAGAACAGGAUCAUGCAAUUUUUUAAAGAUUAUUUUCUGAUUUGGUGCUAUGUUUCUGAAAAACAUGCAGCUCCUAAAGAAGUUUGUUGCGGUGUACUGUGCACAAUAGAUAUUUCACUGUUGGGUUCCUGGUCUAGUUUAACCUCUACUCAACAACCAGGGAGACGGGAGUUUCCAGGGCCAGUCCUAAGGCUGGAGAGAAGGAGCUUCUGAUGAAGGGCACAGCAACAGGCCUGUCUGGAAGUGUUUUCAACAAAUAAUUUAGACUCAAAUUGGCCACCUACCCAACCUAGUUCUUUCAGCAGAAUCAACUGUAUCCAAAUAAUUUCUUACAGUUGUUUAACCUCAUCUUUAAAAUCUUGUCUAACUUCUUUAAACUUCUUAUCUAGCCCACACUUAAAAAUUCUGAACACAAGUGCCUUUGGCCACCUUUCUGAGGGUUUAUUUGUUCUGACUGUUAAAAAUUUCUCCAUAUUAAACUCAAAUUUCCCUUGCUAGCAUUUAUGGCUAUUUCUUGUCUCCAGUGAAUAUGGAGAAUGCUUUUUUCCUUUCCUCCUCACCUCUCUUACAAUUUAUCUUUUAUGUACUUCAAGACUGAUUUCCCUUCAGAUUCUGUUCUUUACGCUAAAAUGCAUGCCCAACAAAAAUAAAGGGAAAAUCCUGUAUUCUAAUUCCAUCAGGAAAAGAAAUUAAAGUCUCAAGAAAAGCUAUGGUGACAUCUGGUGAGCUUCAACACUUUUUGUCUGGGAAAUUGUUAUGUCUGCCUCCUGGCUUUCCUCAUUUUAAAAAUAUUUUAUUAUUGUAGAAAAAAGAAUUAUUUCUUUAUCAGUGAAAAGGUUUUUUUGUUCUCAGGUUAAUUUUUUUGUAUUCUGCAUUUUUGAUUAGUAUGCUUCAAAGCAUAUGCUUCAUCAGAUUACAGACAUUAAUAGAGCACAGUAUCAAGUUUGUCAUGUCACAUUUUUAGCCAUGAAAAGAAGUUAUUGCAUGACUUAUGAAGGAUUAUACACUCUAAAAAUAGUAAAGAUGAAAAGACUUGUUAAGAAAACUAUAUUAACCAAGAUGCAUAGGAAAUAAACUAUCUCAAUUAUAACUAGGUUUUAAAAACAGUUACCUUCUUUCAGCAAGAAAAUUAAUCUUUAAAAUAUAUCUCAUCUGAUGAAAGUCUCUUAAGGCUGUGACCUAUUCAGGUGACAGUUUAAUCUAUAAAGGUUGCAUUUAAGUUUAAAUAAACCGUUUUUCUUGCCACUGUAAUAGACUAAGAGCUCAUGGUCAGUGAAUUGUAAAGAGAAGUAACUUACUGGAGAAUGAACAGUUAUUUCUUCUGUUGCAUUAACUCUACUUGCUUGAAUUUGUGCCAGUACAAAUUUCAGUAUAGGCUGUUCAGAAUAUAGCUCAUUUCCUAGCACCUUGACUUCAUGUUCCACGUCACUCUGGUUCAUACAACGCUCAUUCAAUGAUCCUUUGCAUUCUCCCAGUUAGCAGGUGAGCUGUGCGGGUUCUGGGGGCUGCAUGUUUGGUACUGACUUUGGAGGACCACUACUGACACUGCAGGUUUAGCAGCCUACCCAUUAAUAAUAUUUAGAUUCAAUGCCAGCAGGUGAAGAAGAAAAAUGUUGUUGUUGCUGGGUGCUUUGGGGGCUGGAAGGGAGGUAGACUCUGCAAAUGAUCUGGGGUUAAGCCAUGGUUUCUGUGCCCAGUGCUGGAGUUAGAGGAAUUAUCUAGACAACUGCUUCCUGCCCCUCACUAGCAAUGAUUCUUGGUUAUUUAAACUGCUAUCCCGAAAGACUUUAAAAUCCUUUUUUCACGGUAUUGCUCUUGACAUUUGAAGUUAAUUUCUUGCCUUCUCCCUUGUAUUUCUCUGCAGCCAGCUCAUUUUGCCUUCGAUCUAUCGUCUUCACCUCAGUGUUUCAUUUAAUUUUUACCUGGUCAAAGUGGCUGAUUACAACCCUUUUAAGAUAGCUAAAACCAGAAGGAAUAAUUAAACUAGUCCACAUUAACAGAUUGCUGACCAGAAACAAUGCUGUCACCUGGCAACUUUUCAAACAGAACUAGAUGAAUGGGACAGAUCAGGGUCUCUACUUGACAUGAUUCAAGGCCAGCAUGUGGACACGACAGAACAGGAAUGCAUUGCACUGAUCCCAAAGGAAAUUCCCACAGAGCCAGUCUAACUCUCAUGGCUGGUGCCUUGAAGGAGGUGUCUGUGAAAGCACAAAGAUCCUGGCUACUCAUAUCCAGAGAGUUCUGCUUUCAGGAGACACUCUUUGCACUCUUGAGGGUUGUUGUGAGUGAGGUGAUCCCUGCCUUAAGAAGCAUCACUUCACAGAGCUCCAGGAACAGACAAGGGACUAUCAACCAGCAAUUUGCCCUGUGAUCUUGUGUCUUCACAUGAAUUUUAACUAGUUAAUUGCU